rnacentral:lncRNA from 1 species
UAUUUUUGGCACACGGAGGCCGCCCGCCAAGUCUGGUGCCAUUCCGAGUCCCGCGGACGAACUUCGCCCACGCCCCCCACCAAGGCUAUAGCCCACCCCUUUUUUGGCCAUUUUUCCGCUGGGGGGUCUUGGGACCCCGAACUUCGGGGGCUGUUUUUUGGGCGCGGCUGUGCCCGUGGCCUAUUUUUGGCACACGGAGGCCGCCCGCCAAGUCUGGUGCCAUUCCGAGUCCCGCGGACGAACUUCGCCCACGCCCCACACCAAGGCUAUAGCCCACCCGUUUUUUGGCCAUUUUUCUGCUGGGGGGUCUUGGGACCCCGACCUUGGGGGGCUGGUUUUUGGGCGCGGCUGUGCCCGUGGCCUAUUGUUUGCACACGGAGGCCGCCCGCCAAGUCUGGUGCCAUUCCGAGUUCCGCGGACGAACUUCGCCCACGCCCCCCACCAAAGCUAUAGCCCACCCGUUUUUUGGCCAUUUUUCCGCUGGGGGGUCUAGGGACCCCGAACUUCGGGGGCUGUUUUUUGGGCGCGGCUGUGCCCGUGGCCUAUUUUUGGCACACGGAGGCCGCCCGCCAAGUCUGGUGCCAUUCCGAGUCCCGCGGACGAACUUCGCCCACGCCCCCCACCAAGGCUAUAGCCCACCCGUUUUUUGGCCAUUUUUCCGCUGGGGGGUCUUGGGACCCCGACCUUCGGGGGCUUUUUUUUGGGCGCGGCUGUGCCCGUGGCCUAUUUUUGGCACACGGAGGCCGCCCGCCAAGUCUGGUGCCAUUCCGAGUCCCGCGGAUGAACUUCGCCCACGCCCCCCACCAAGGCUAUAGCCCACCCGUCUUUUGGCCAUUUUUCCGCUGGGGGGUCUUGGGACCUCGACCUUCGGGGGCUGGUUUUUGGGCGCGGCUGUGCCCGUGGCCUAUUUUUGGCACACGGAGGCCGCCCGCCAAGUCUGGUGGCAUUCCGAGUCCCGCGGACGAACUUCGCCCACGCCACCCACCAAGGCUAUAGCCCACCCGUUUUUUGGCCAUUUUUCUGCUGGGGGGUCUUGGGACCCCGACCUUGGGGGGCUGGUUUUUGGGCGCGGCUGUGCCCGUGGCCUAUUGUUUGCACACGGAGGCCGCCCGCCAAGUCUGGUGCCAUUCCGAGUCCCGCGGACGAACUUCGCCCUCGCCCCCCACCAAGGCUAUAGCCCACCCGUUUUUUGGCCAUUUUUCCGCUGGGGGGUCUUGGGACCCCGACCUUCGGGGGCUGGUUUUUGGGCGCGGCUGUGCCCGUGGCCUAUUUUUGGCACACGGAGGCCGCCCGCCAAGUCUGGUGCCAUUCCGAGUUCCGCGGACGAACUUCGCCCACGCCCCCCACCAAAGCUAUAGCCCACCCGUUUUUUGGCCAUUUUUCCGCUGGGGGGUCUAGGGACCCCGAACUUCGGGGGCUGUUUUUUGGGCGCGGCUGUGCCCGUGGCCUAUUUUUGGCACACGGAGGCCGCCCGCCAAGUCUGGUGCCAUUCCGAGUCCCGCGGACGAACUUCGCCCACGCCCCCCACCAAGGCUAUAGCCCACCCGUUUUUUGGCCAUUUUUCCGCUGGGGGGUCUUGGGACCCCGACCUUCGGGGGCUUUUUUUUGGGCGCGGCUGUGCCCGUGGCCUAUUUUUUGCACACGGAGGCCGCCCGCCAAGUCUGGUGCCAUUCCGAGUCCCGCGGACGAACUUCGCCCACGCCCCCCACCAAGGCUAUAGCCCACCCGUUUUUUGGCCAUUUUUCCGCUGGGGGGUCUUGGGACCCCGACCUUCGGGGGCUGUUUUUUGGGCGCGGCUGUGCCCGUGGCCUAUUUUUGGCACACGGAGGCCACCCGCCAAGUCUGGUGCCAUUCCGAGUCCCGCGGACGAACUUCGCCCACGUCCCCCACCAAGGCUAUAGCCCACCCGUUUUUUGGCCAUUUUUCUGCUUGGGGGUCUUGGGACCCCGACCUUCGGGGGCUGUUUUUUGGGCGCGGCUGUGCCCGUGGCCUAUUUUUGACACACGGAGGCCGCCCGCCAAGUCUGGUGCCAUUCCGAGUCCCGCGGACGAACUUCGCCCACGCCCCCCACCAAGGCUAUAGCCCACCCGUCUUUUGGCCAUUUUUCCGCUGGGGGGUCUUGGGACCCCGACCUUCGGUUGCUGGUUUUUGGGCGCGGCUGUGCCCGUGGCCUAUUUUUGUUACACGGAGGCCGCCCGCCAAGUCUGGUGCAAUUCCGAGUCCCGCGGACGAACUUCGCCCACGUCCCCCACCAAGGCUAUAGCCCACCCGUUUUUUGGCCAUUUUUCCGCUGGGGGUUCUCGGGACCCCGACCUUCGGGGGCUGUUUUUUGGGUGCGGCUGUGCCCGUGGCCUAUUUUUGGCACACGGAGGCUGCCCGCCAAGUCUAGUGCCAUUCCUAGUCCCGCGGACGAACUUCGCCCACGCCCCCCACCAAGGCUAUAGCCCACCCGUUUUUUGGCCAUUUUUCCGCUGGGGGGUCUUGGGACCCCGACCUUCGGGGGCUGUUUUUUGGGCGCGGCUGUGCCCGUGGCCUAUUUUUGGCACACGGAGGCCGCCCGCCAAGUCUGGUGCCAUUCAGAGUCCCGCGGACAAACUUCGCCCACGCCCCCCACCAAGGCUAUAGCCCACCCGUUUUUUGGCCAUUUUUCUGCUUGGGGGUCUUGGGACCCCGACCUUCGGGGGCUGUUUUUUGGGCGCGGCUGUGCCCGUGGCCUAUUUUUGGCACACGGAGGCCGCCCGCCAAGUCUGGUGCCAUUCCGAGUCCCGCGGACGAACUUCGCCCACGCCCCCCACCAAGGCUAUAUGUCACGGCCCGGAUUGUUCCCACGCUAUGCCGUGCGGCCUUAGGCGCCAAAUUCGCACUCUAUUGGCCCUAAGUCAGCCUUACACCCAAAUCUGUUGCUGGAUUCGAGAAGCGGAAAAAGGAAUCACUCUAACUCACAAAGUAUGGGAGGAAAGAACUUAUAUUGCUCGAUAGAAUGUUUACAAAGCUAUGUGUGCUGGAAUUGUAUAUUGCUUUUUGAUUGAUUUGGCCAAAUGAGGCCUUCUCCGAUUUAUAGGGUACAAAGAAGUAUCUAGAGAGUCUCUAGAGUUACAUAAACACAUUAAUUACAAUGGAAAUAUCUACAUGCUCUACACAAGUCUCCAUGGCUCUAGAAUUCUCCAUGGGCCAGGCCAUGUGGAAGCUUGGGCCAUGACAUUCUCCCCCACCUAUUCCGGAGACGUCCUCGUCGACUCGCUGUGGAAGGCUUUGAUCUUGUCUUGGAACUGCCACAAAUCAUAUGCGGGCUCCCAACUUGUUUCGCUCUCGGGUAGUCCCUUCCAUUUGACAAAGUACUCUUGGCAUGGUGGAAAACUCUUCUUCCAAACCACACGGUCAGCCAAAAUGGCCUCCACUUCUUUGUCAUAGACCCUUGUGUUGCCCAGUGGAGGGCGCUUGGAUUCUCCCCUUUUCGGAUCUUCCGUAUCCCCAUGGAAUGGCUUCAAGGAACUCACGUGGAAGACCGGAUGGAGUUUUCGCCAAGAGGGUAACUCUAACUUGUACGACACAUUGCCGACCCUCUUGAUGAUGGGAAAUGGCCCCUCGUAUUUCCGGAUGAGGCCCUUGUGCAGCGAACGUGUGGACUUGUGCUGGGCUGGAACGAUCUUGACUAGCACCAUGUCCCCCACGUUGAACUCCAAGUGUCUACGCUUGCUAUCUGCCCAUUUCUUCAUCCGCUUGGUUGCUUUGUCGAGGUGCGCCCGUGCUAUGUCUGUUUGCUCAUGCCAUGACUUAGCCACUUUAUAUGCUGCAGGACACCUCCCGGUAUAGCUCGUGAUGAGCGUGUGUGGUGUAAGCGGCUGCUGUCCCAUGAUCACCUCAAAAGGGCUCCUCGAUGUAGCCUCACUCCGCUGCAAGUUGUAGGAAAAUUGGGCCACGUCCAGCAACUUUGCCCAGUCAUGCUGGUUGGCGCUCACAAAAUGCCGUAAGUACAGCUCCAACAAGGCAUUCACCCUCUCCGUUUGCCCAUCGGUUUGCGGAUGAAAGCUCGUAGAAAAGUGCAGCACCGACCCCAUAAGCUUGAACAACUCAGUCCAAAACCUCCCCGUAAACCGGCUGUCGCGGUCGCUAAUGAUGGAUUUCGGAAGUCCCCAAUACUUCACCACGUGCCUAAAGAAAAACUUGGCUGUGUCCUCCGCUGUGCACUCCUUCGGGGCAGGAAUGAAAGUGGCAUAUUUCGAGAAUCUGUCCACCACCACAACAAUAGUCGCAAACCCCUCCGAUUUUGGAAGACAAGUGAUGAAAUCCAUCGAUAUACUCUCCCACGGUCGAUCCGGAGUGGGCAGUGGCUCAAGCAACCCCGCGGGACAUUGUUGCUCUGUUUUGUCUUGUUGGCACACUAAGCACGUCCGCACGAACUGCUCCACUUCAUCCCGCAUCUGAGGCCAAUAGUAUGCCGACUCAAGCAAUGCCCGUGUCCGCCUUUGUCCCGGGUGUCCAGCCCACUUCGUAUCAUGACACUCCUUGAUCAAGUUCCGCCGCAAGUUUCCCCACUUCGGAACAUAGACACGCCGUCCCUUGGUGUAUAAAAGGCCAUCUUCGACCCAAAACCUCUUCGAUUUCCCCUGUUGUACGAGAGAAACCAGCUGCUUGGCCAAGGGAUCAUGCUCCGUCCCCUCCUUGAUGAGUGUAAGAAGCUCUCCUUGUAUCCGACUCAUGGCAGCAAGCUCGACCUUCCGACUCAAGGCGUCCGCUACCAAAUUAGCCUUUCCGGGCUUAUACUCCAGCACGUAGUCGAAUUCGGCCAAGAAAUCUUGCCAUCUCGCUUGCUUGGGACUAAGCUUCUUUUGGCUUUGGAAGUAACUAGUGGCCACGUUGUCCGUCUUCACCACGAACUUGGACCCAAGCAAGUAGUGCCUCCAUGUGCGCAAGCAGUGCACUACUGCCGUCAUCUCCUUCUCUUGUACCGUGUACCGCCGCUCCGUAUCGUUGAGCUUUCGGCUCUCAAAGGCUAUUGGAUGUUCGGCCUGCAUCAACACACCUCCAAUAGCAAAAUCGGAAGCAUCAGUGUGUACCUCAAAUGGUAAGUCAUGGUUUGGCAGCACAAGUACCGGCUCUUCCAUCACGGCCUUCUUGAGGGCAUCGAAGGCUUGCUGGCUCCUUUCCGUCCAUUCCCACUUGGUAGUCUUUUUGAGCAAAUCAGUGAGUGGUGCGGCAAUGGCGGAAUAACCUCUAAUGAACCUCCGAUAAUAGUUGGCAAGUCCUAAGAAAGAGCGCAACUCAGUCACCUUUGUGGGCGGCUCCCAUUCGGCAAUGGCUCGGACCUUGGCCUUGUCCAUGAGCAGCGUCCCAUCUCUGAUUUUAUGGCCAAGAAAAUCCACCUCCAGUUUUGCGAACGAACACUUCUCCCUCUUCACAUACAGCUCAUUUUCCCGCAACACCCCGAACACGACCCACAAGUGCUCAGCAUGUUCCGCCAAGGUGUUGCUAUAGACCACGAUGUCAUCAAGAUACACCACUACAAACUGAUCAAGGUAUGGCUGGAAUAUGCGGUUCAUGAGCGUGCAAAAUGUGGCUGGAGCAUUGGUGAGGCCGAAAGGCAUUACCUUGAACUCGUACGCUCCAUACCUCGUCACACAAGCGGUCUUCGGCUCAUCUCCCUCCGCAAUCCGUACUUGGUAAUAUCCCGAUCUAAGGUCCAGCUUGGAGAAAUAUUUGGCCCGUCCAAGUUGAUCGAACAAGUCCGCAAUCAGUGGGAUGGGGUAUUUGUUCUUCACGGUCACCUUGUUAAGAGCCCGGUAGUCGAUACAUAGUCGAAGUGAGCCAUCAUGCUUCCGCUGGAACAGCACCGGUGCUCCGUAUGGUGCUUUCGAGGGCUGGAUGUAUCCUGCGUCCAGCAGCUCCUUAAUUUGCCUCCGCAACUCCUCUAGCUCCGGUGGAGACAUGCGGUAAGGUGCUCGUGCAGGCGGUUUGGCACCCGGCUCCAGCUCAAUCUUGGAUGUUGGUGGCCUCGAAGUACCUCUCCAUGGACCACAAGAAGUUCUCGAUCUCCUGGGCAUCCCUCAAGGACUUGGCCUACCGCCUCCGGUAUGGGCUCCAUGGCCAUAGUGUCCUUCCCGUCACCAACCUCAUGAAUGGCCACCGCCUUCUUGCAAAGCGCCCAAUCCAUCUUAGUCUCUUCAAGGCCCGUGUGAAGCUCCUCCACUUGAGCCCUGAGCGCCUCAAUAGAGUUCAGAACCACCGCUUGGAACUCCUCAAGGCUUUGGCGUUGCGCCACCACAUCUUGGCUUAGAUCGCCCAUCCGCUCACCAAGAUCAUCCACCUCCUCCAUCUUUUGCUCAAAGAUCUCGAGGCGUUCUUUAAUCUCAGCGACAGAAAUCUCCCCACAGACAAUCCGAUUCUCCAUGGCGUUGAGCAAGUCCACUGACUUCUCCUUGCUGUUUUUCCCCUUCUUCGUAUUGGGGUUAGGCUCCCUUCCCCUUUGGUCAUCAUGAGUGCUCUCUGACAUCCUUCCUUUCGAACAACGCAACUACCCACGAGUGUAGACGGCUCUGAUACCAACUGUCACGGCCCGGAUUGUUCCCACGCUAUGCCGUGCGGCCUUAGGCGCCAAAUUCGCACUCUAUUGGCCCUAAGUCAGCCUUACACCCAAAUCUGUUGCUGGAUUCGAGAAGCGGAAAAAGGAAUCACUCUAACUCACAAAGUAUGGGAGGAAAGAACUUAUAUUGCUCGAUAGAAUGCUUACAAAGCUAUGUGUGCUGGAAUUGUAUAUUGCUUUUUGAUUGAUUUGGCCAAAUGAGGCCUUCUCCUAUUUAUAGGGUACAAAGAAGUAUCUAGAGAGUCUCUAGAGUUACAUAAACACAUUAAUUACAAUGGAAAUAUCUACAUGCUCUACACAAGUCUCCAUGGCUCUAGAAUUCUCCAUGGGCCAGGCCAUGUGGAAGCUUGGGCCAUGACAUAUAGCCCACCUGUUUUUUGGCCAUUUUUCCGUUGGGGGGUCUUGGGACCCCGACCUUCGGGGGCUGGUUUUUGGGCGCGGCUGUGCCCGUGGCCUAUUUUUGGCACACGGAGGCCGCCCGCCAAGUCUGGUGCCAUUCCGAGUCCCGCGGACGAACUUCGCCCACGCCCCCCACCAAGGCUAUAGCCCACCCGUUUUUUGGCCAUUUUUCCGCUGGGGGGUCUUGGGACCCCGACCUUCGGGGGCUUUUUUUUUGGCGCGGCUGUGCCCGUGGCCUAUUUUUGGCACACCGAGUCCGCCCGCCAAGUCUGGUGCCAUACCGAGUCCCGCGGACGAACUUCGCCCACGCCCCCCACCAAGGCUAUAGCCCACCCGUUUUUUGGCCAUUUUUCCGCUGGGGGGUCUUGGGACCCCGACCUUCGGGGGCUGUUUUUUGGGCGCGGCUGUGCCCGUAGCCUAUUGUUGGCACACGGAGGCCGCCCGCCAAGUCUGGUGCCAUUCCGAGUCCCGCGGACGAACUUCGCCCACGCCCCCCACCAAGGCUAUAGCCCACCCGUUUUUUGGCCAUUUUUCCACUGGGGGGUCUUGGGGCCCCGACCUUCGGGGGCUGUUUUUUUGGCGCGGCUGUGCCCGUGGCCUAUUUUUGGCACACGGAGGCCGCCCGCCAAGUCUGGUGCCAUUCCGAGUCCCGCGGACGAACUUCGCCCACGCCCCCCACCAAGGCUAUAGCCCUCCCGUUUUUUGGCCAUUUUUCCGCUGGGGGGUCUUGGGACCCCGACCUUCGGGGGCUGUUUUUUGGGCGCGGCUGUGCCCGUGGCCUAUUUUUGGCACACGGAGGCCGCCCGCCAAGUCUGGUGCCAUUCCGAGUCCCGCGGACGAACUUCGCCCACGCCCCCCACCAAGGCUAUAGCCCACCCGUUUUUUGGCCAUUUUUCCGCUGGGGGGUCUUGGGACCCCGACCUUCGGGAGCUGGUUUUUGGGCGCGGCUGUUCCCGUGGCCUAUUUUUGGCACACGGAGGCCGCCCACCAAGUCUGGUGCCAUUCCGAGUCCCGCGGACGAACUUCGCCCACGCCCCCCACCAAGGCUACAGCCCACCCGUUUUUUGGCCAUUUUUCCGCUGGGGGGUCUUGGGACCCCGACCUUCGGGGGCUGCUUUUGGGGCGCGGCUGUGCCUGUGGCCUAUUUUUGGCACACGGACGCCGCCCGGCAAGUCUGGUGCCAUUCCGAGUCCCGCGGACGAACUUCGCCCACGCCCCCCACCAAGGCUAUAGCCCACCCGUUUUUUGGCCAUUUUUCCGCUGGGGGGU